GCAGAUCAGGAGCAGAGCCAACACAAGCCAAACACAGCCCUGGUAAAUCAGCAUCUCCUCAUAGAGAUACAUUGAAUCAAUGCAUCUCUGAGGAAAGUUCAGUGUCUCCAUUCAGAGGGAGGAUACACUGAAUGUCAGUGCAGCACACAAAAUAUAGCAUGGGACAAAGUAGGGACUAGUUUUGUUUUACGGUAAAUCCCAAACUUUUGGUCACUUCCCACAGCCUUUGCUAUUAACGGCUGUGGGAAUAAGGCAUUAUCUCACUGAUGAAGAGACAAUAACUAUGGGGGCUCUCGUGGUCUUGCAGGAUUCUCCAUAUACAUCAGUAUUGUACUCUUGCGCAUGUGCGAGAGUACAGCAUUGACGUGGGCUCCCGGAUGAUGAAGCAGAAGCAGCUGAAGAUUGAAAAAAGCAGUGCCCGUGGAGGACAGAAUCAGGUAAGUAUAACUCACCUCUACUGCACCUAAGCAGCAAUGUCACCAUUGUGGC